rnacentral:rRNA from 1 species
UACGGAGGGUGCAAGCGUUGUCCGGAUUUAUUGGGUUUAAAGGGUGCGUAGGUGGUCUCUUAAGUCUGGUUUGAAAGUCGGCGGCUUAACCGUUGGAUGUGGCUGGAAACUGGGAGACUUGAAUGCGAUGGCGGUAGCCGGAACGGGUCAUGUAGCGGUGAAAUGCAUAGAUAUGACCCAGAACACCGAUUGCGAAGGCAGGCUACUAGGUCGCCAUUGACACUGAGGCACGAGAGCAUGGGGAGCGAACAGG